UCAGCGGCACAAAGCGGGCGCGCGUGCGGGCAGCUCGGUCGGUCGGGCGGGCUCAGCCGGUUCUGGGCCGGUUCGGCCCAAGCGGUCGGACCGGUCCGGUUCACCGUUUUUUUUUCUUUUCUCUUUCCCUUUUUCUUAUUUCUUUGGUAUCUUUGGUUUUGAACUCCAAAUUGAUCCAAAUAAAUUCCAAAUUUUUUGUAAAAUCAUGUUUUAUCAUGAUACAACUUUUGGGAGUAGUUUCUCCUCAAAAUAAAAUAUAUAAAAAUACAUUUACCCUAUAAAUGCCUUUAGGGCUAUAUAUUUAUUUUAAAUAAAAUACGUUUUCAACUCCAAAUAAUUAUCCAAAAAUUAUGGGAUAGCUUAUAUAUGCAAUAAACCCCUUUUAUACAGAAACUCUAUUGGUUUGAAAAUCUAAAGCUUAAAUGGGUGUAAACAAAGUCUUUUAAAGCCUUUUGAGAUUCAAAUUUGAAUUCAAAUAUGCAAUUGUGGCAUGAUGCUCAUGGAUGCAAUGCACAUGUAAAAGUUUGAAAUUUUGGGAUGUUACACGCUCCCACCUACACAGCUAC
rnacentral:lncRNA from 1 species